ensembl:snoRNA
AUCCUUUUGUGGUUCAUAAGCAUGAUGACUGGGUUUUCAUGCUUUGUGUGAGAUGUGCCUCCUUUAAACCUUGUUUCAAUAUCAGCACAUUAACUGUCUGAUG